rnacentral:rRNA from 1 species
GAUGAACGCUGGCGGCGUGCCUAAUACAUGCAAGUCGAGCGAACAGACGAGGAGCUUGCUCCUCUGACGUUAGCGGCGGACGGGUGAGUAACACGUGGAUAACCUACCUAUAAGACUGGGAUAACUUCGGGAAACCGGAGCUAAUACCGGAUAAUAUAUUGAACCGCAUGGUUCAAUAGUGAAAGACGGUUUUGCUGUCACUUAUAGAUGGAUCCGCGCCGUAUUAGCUAGUUGGUAAGGUAACGGCUUACCAAGGCAACGAUGCGUAGCCGACCUGAGAGGGUGAUCGGCCACACUGGAACUGAGACACGGUCCAGACUCCUACGGGAGGCAGCAGUAGGGAAUCUUCCGCAAUGGGCGAAAGCCUGACGGAGCAAAGCCGCGUGAGUGAUGAAGGUCUUCGGAUCGUAAAACUCUGUUAUUAGGGAAGAACAAAUGUGUAAGUAACUAUGCACGUCUUGACGGUACCUAAUCAGAAAGCCACGGCUAACUACGUG